rnacentral:misc_RNA from 1 species
CGCACAUUGCGCCCCUCGGUAGCCCGGAGGGCAUACCUGUUCGAGCGUCAUCUAAUAAAUCAAAACUCUGUUUUGACAUUGGACCUCUUCGUUAAAUUUUACGUUUAACGGGUCUUGAAUCUGUCGGCAGCUUCUGAUAAGCUUCAAGCGUAGUAAAUAUUCUCCCGUUUGAAAAGCUUCUUGAGAGUUUUGCCACUAAAUGAAACUAUUAUCAUAUUUUGACCUCGAAUCAGGUAGGGAUACCCGCUGAACUUAA